AUACGGAGGGUGCAAGCGUUACUCGGAAUCACUGGGCGUAAAGCGCGCGCAGGCGGCUAUUUAAGUUGGAUGUGAAAGCCUACGGCUCAACCGUAGAACUGCAUCCAAAACUAUUUAGCUAGAGUGUGGGAGAGGAAGAUGGAAUUAGUUGUGUAGGGGUAAAAUCCGUAGAGAUAACUAGGAAUACCAAAAGCGAAGGCAAUCUUCUGGAACACUACUGACGCUGAGGCGCGAAGGCGUGGGGAGCAAACAGGAUUAGAAACCCCUGUAGUCC
rnacentral:rRNA from 1 species